rnacentral:rRNA from 1 species
CGGGGGCAUCAGUAUUCAGUCGUCAGAGGUGAAAUUCUUGGAUUGACUGAAGACUAACUACUGCGAAAGCAUUUGCCAAGGACGUUUUCAUUAAUCAAGAACGAAAGUUAGGGGAUCGAAGAUGAUCAGAUACCGUCGUAGUCUUAACCAUAAACUAUGCCGACUAGGGAUCGGGUGGUGCUACUUUGCCCACUCGGCACCUUACGAGAAAUCAAAGUUUUUGGGUUCUGGGGGGAGUAUGGUCGCAAGGCUGAAACUUAAAGGAAUUGACGGAAGGGCACCACCAGGAGUGGAGCCUGCGGCUUAAUUUGACUCAACACGGGGAAACUCACCAGGUCCAGACGUAAUAAGGAUUGACAAGUUAGAGACUUCUCUUGAUCUUACGGGUGGUGGUGCAUGGCCGUUUUUAGUCCUUGGAGUGAUUUGUCUGCUUAAUUGCGAUAACGGACGAGACCUUAACCUGCUAAAUAGGGCUGCGAGCAUCUGCUCGGGUGCUCUUCUUAGAGGGACUAUGGGUAUCAAACCCAUGGAAGUUUGAGGCAACAACAGGUCUGUGAUGCCCUUAGACGUUCUGGGCCGCACGCGCGCUACACUGACGGAGCCA